GAUGAACGCUGGCGGCGUGCCUAAUACAUGCAAGUCGAGCGAACAGACGCGGGGCUUGCUCCUCUGACGUUAGCGGCGGACGGGUGAGUAACACGUGGAUAACGUCCCUAUAAGACGGGGAUAACUUCGGGAAACGGGCUCUAAUACCGGAGAAUAUAUUGAACCGCGGGGGGCAAUAGUGAAAGACGGUGUUGCUGUCACUUAUAGAGGGAUCCGCGCCGCAUUGGCUAGUUGGGAGGGUAAAGGCUUACCAAGGGGACGAGGGGCGGACGAGGGGAUAGGGUGAUCGCCCACCCUGGAACGUAGCCGCCGACCAGACUCCUACGGGAGGCAGCAGUCGCGAAUCUUCCGCAAUGGGCGGAAGCAUUACGGAGCAAGCCCGCGUGAGUUACGAAGGCCUCCGGUUCGUAAAGCCCUGUUACUGGUGAAGAACCAAUUUGGAAGUAACUAUGCCCGUCUUGACGGUACCUAGUCAGAAAGCCCCGGCUAACUACGUG
rnacentral:rRNA from 1 species